AUGAGAUUGCUGGGCCUUGUCCUGUACCUGGUAACAGCUCCUCAAGAUGAGUGUCACCAUGUAACAGGUGUGCUGUCACAGGUGCUGGUGAAGGAGUCACAGCCAGGCUUGGUGAGGCCCUCAGAGACACUGUACCUCACCUGCAUGGUCUUUGGUUACGCCAUUACCAGUGGUUAUGACUGGACUUGGAUCCGGCAACUUCGAAGGAAAGGCCUGGAGUGGAUGGUGUACAUAACUCCUUGUGGUGGCACUGAUUACAAUCCAUCCCUCAAGAGCCACAUGUCCAUCUCCAGGGACACGUCCAAGAACCAGUUCUCUCUGAAGCUGAACUGUGUGACUACUGAGGACACAGCCAUGUAUUAUUGUGCAAGAUGCCCAGGGAGGAGACUUCAAAGUGUCCUGUCACAGGUGCAGCUGCAGGAGUCAGGACCUGGCCUGCUCUAUCGUGGAUUCCGAAUGUGCGUGGGAGGCAACACGGGAGUAACGGUGAGCACUGCUAAGUUAGUGCAUCCCUCAACUCUCAUCAGCAAAGCUUUCUCACGCAACACAUUGCCACCAACACCAGAAAGUCACAGCUCACCAAAGUACCAAGUGAUGGAAAUGUAA